rnacentral:rRNA from 1 species
UGGGGAAUAUUGGACAAUGGGCGCAAGCCUGAUCCAGCCAUGCCGCGUGGGUGAUGAAGGCCCUAGGGUUGUAAAGCCCUUUCAGCGGGGAAGAUAAUGACGGUACCCGCAGAAGAAGCCCCGGCUAACUUCGUGCCAGCAGCCGCGGUAAUACGAAGGGGGCUAGCGUUGCUCGGAAUUACUGGGCGUAAAGCGCACGUAGGCGGCUUUCUAAGUCGGGGGUGAAAUCCUGGAGCUCAACUCCAGAACUGCCUUCGAUACUGGAAAGCUCGAGUCCGGGAGAGGUGAGUGGAACUGCGAGUGUAGAGGUGAAAUUCGUAGAUAUUCGCAAGAACACCAGUGGCGAAGGCGGCUCACUGGCCUGGUACUGACGCUGAGGUGCGAAAGCGUGGGGAGCAAACAGG